GUGCCAGCAGCCGCGGUAAUACGUAGGUGGCAAGCGUUGUCCGGAAUUACUGGGCGUAAAGGGCGUGUAGGCGGUAAAUUAAGUCAGACGUGAAAACUCAGGGCUUAACCUUGAGACUGCGUUUGAAACUGAUAGACUAGAGGAUCGGAGAGGGCAGUGGAAUUCCCAGUGUAGCGGUGAAAUGCGUAGAUAUUGGGAGGAACACCAGUGGCGAAGGCGACUGCCUGGACGACACCUGACGCUGAGGCGCGAAAGCCAGGGGAGCAAACGGGAUUAGAUACCCCGGUAGUCCUGGCCGUAAACGAUGGGUACUAGGUGUGGGAGGUAUCGACCCCUUCCGUGCCGGAGCAAACGCAAUAAGUACCCCGCCUGGGGAGUACGGCCGCAAGGUUGAA
rnacentral:rRNA from 1 species